UCCCCGCACCGGCCCCCUCGGUCCCUGCUCCUGCCUGGAUAGCAUCCAAGCACAGCGCCGGAGCGCCUCGGGCGGGACUGGGAGCUGCUGCGUUAACUGUGCUCUUCCCUGCGGGGACUGGGAACAGCGGGGCCAAGCUGACAGGUAGAAUGGACUCAGGCUCACUAGUUUGAACACAAUCUGUUACUUCUGCAAAGGCAUCCUAGAAGGUCGUAGUAGCCCAUCAUGCCUCACAAUGCUGCUGGCAGGAAAUCUUUCUCUGAGGCUUCUGCAAAGCUGCCUCCACACACGCAGUGCCAAGUCUUUUAGCACAGCAAGGGCUAGAGCACAGUGCCAUUUACACUACCAGGGAGGCCCUUCUGCCUUAAAUAUGCAAUAUACCAGCAAUAAAAAAAGGAGAAGAACAGGCACUGCCUAUCUCUGUUUCUGUGACUAUUUAGGAGGGAAAAAAAAAAAAAAAACCAAACAAAAACAGGAGAGAAAAUAGCCAGACAUGCAACUUCUUUGGGAGACCAUUCUUCCCAGUCUCAAUCCUAACUGACACCAUUGCUGAUCCUCUAAGCAUGAUAUACUGACACUGCACUUCAAUUUGCCUUAUGAAAAAGGACAGCUAGCCAAGCCAAGCACUUCACAAGAUAAAAGUGUCCAGCAUCCCAGCAGAAUUUGCUCCAAAUACGAACUCAUCUCACCAGCAAUGAAGGCAUAGUUGGCAGCGUUUCCUGGAGCAGAGGAAAGAAGAGGUUCUUCAUCCCAUCAAACUAUAAGGUAGAUGGAAGUGGUUAUUCUCUGUCAGGAUAUACUGUUUACAUGCCACAAGGCUUGGGAAUCUGAGGUCAUAUUCACUGCUACUGAACCACUAGAAGUACAGGUUUGAAACAGUACAGUCCAAGAAACAGAGAAGAGGUUGAAAUGAAAUGAAAUGAAAUGAAAUGAAAUGAAAUGAAAUGAAAUGAAAUGAAAUAAUGAAAUGAAAUUAAAUGAAAUGAAAUGUGGCAAGGGGUUCUUUAAUCCUCCUUAAUCUAUAGGAUGUAUUUCGCCAAGGCACCAGCAAGAAGAUAUAAACAAACCAUUCUCACCACAGAGUUACUUUGAUUAUGUCAAAGAGAUAUUAAUUUACUCUAAAUAAGACCAACUCAGUUGAGAUGUGUUGCUCCAAUCUUCUGCCUCUUCUAACACGAUUGGCACUGACAAGUGUUUGUCUACUUCCUGUGAUGCUGAAUCCUAUCAAAAUUGAUGAGGAAUCAGAGGAAUUGCCACUGAUGUUCUGCUGAUGGCAGAGUGGGGAAUCUCCUUCAGGAGGUAGAUGGGAGUCUGACCACACUGGUGAUGCUACAGGUACCUCUCCUUAGAGUGACUAGACUCAACUCUGAAUACAGCUGCUAGACACAAAACACCUAGUUCCUUAACUUUCACUUUACUUAUAGUUUAAAUAAUUCACAUUCUUGUAGAAGUUUAGUCUUUUUUUUUUUCUGACAAAUGAGAACUGAGGCCUACAUGCAGCCUUGCAAUUUCAGGAACACAAGUAUACUUGUAGUAUGAUUUUAUUGGCUAGAUUCAUAGUAGGUUUUCCUAGCAAGUGCCAAUAUUGAAAACCCAAACUUUGACAAGGGUCUAAAGAUUUGAGUUGAUAAUGCAGUCAAGAUUGAUACAGUUUAAUGAAGUUUUCACUUUUUUUUUCAUUUGGUCAGUUUCUGUCUGCUUCUUAUCAUUAGAUUUCUUGUCAAGUGUUGAGUUUAUCUACUUUCUGAUUUACCAGUGAAAAUAGUGAUAGGCACUUUUUAAUUUAUCUUCAUCCUACUGAAGUACAGCAAUUUUAAAAUAGUUUUACAAGGGUCAGUCUCAGGUAUGAGGAGUCUGAUCAGACAGAAAGUGCAUAGUCCAUUUUCCUCACCCUGCUUAAAUGCAUUUUUUUUCCUCCCCUUUGCUUACAUUGCAGCUAACUGCAAUUUUCUCAAGUGAAUUCAAGUCCAACAGAUCCUUUAUACAUUUUGAAUGCAAAGUAUUUCACACUCUGAAUGCAAGUUAAGUUUUGGCAGAUUACUGGAAUUAGCUAAUCGAAAGGUACACUAAAUAAUUGUGUAUGUGAUCAGAGGUUAUGAUUACUGCAAAUUUGUUCCCUCCAUUCCUCCUCCUGUUUCCUAUCAUGGAUCUGUGACAAUGCAAUCUAGUGCCUUUGAGGAAUUUUGUUGAGAAAAGCAAGUUAUAGAAGACUGCAAAAUUAGAGAUCGCCAAAACUGCUUGUAUAUCAAAGCUCCAAAAGGUAUUGUAGAACACAUCAAGCUUUAAAAUGAAACAGAGCAAGAAGGUGAAACAGAUACUCCAAUAAAACUGUAAACACUCAGUUGAUGGUUAAUAAUUUAAAAUGUUCUAGAAGAUAUGAUACAGGACAUGUGUCCAUGUGUCUAUCUUUUGCAAGAAUAAAAGGAGCUGUGAGAAGUGCUGGAUUAAUUUCACAUAUCACUGUCAGAACAAAUGCAGAGAAUAGAUUGUUUGAACUCAGCAAGAGAAUCUUGAAAUAUCUAGGGCUGGUUUGUGCAAAUCUGAAAACGUCACCUCCAUUUGGUUCAUCUCAUUUACCUCCAAUUAGACUUUCCAGCAACUUAGAACCUCCAUAUCAGUCAAGAGAGAAGAGCUUAUAGUUGGCUACAAGUGUUCAUAUUCACUCCUUUGCCUUGGAGAAAACAAACUGCUGUCAGCAAUUUAAGGUGGUUAUCAAUCCUGCAACUACAGUCUUAGGCUGUAAUCACUUGUUAAUGCAGCAGCUGCUACUACCCUGAGAGACAACUGCUGCCACAUGAUAUUUGACCAACCCACUUUAGGCACUUUCAGGACUGCCAAAAAGGUACUGGCCUGAAGUUUGAGAAAUAAUUGUUGAAAAGAACAGUUUUCCAUUCUACCUAGAGUUUUCUUACAGUCACCUUUGGUAAAAAGUAGUUCUGUGUGCCUGAAAAAACUUUGGUAUUGGAGCUGGGUCAUGCACAGCAAGGUUUAAGUCAGGCAAGCUGCCAGAACAAAGUCGUUUUGCUCAGCAUUGGCUUCAACUCUCACACAUCUGCUCUGUAAUUCACCAGCUUGGUGCUGUCAGCCUUUGGAAGGACCUGUGCCUGAACAGAAUACAAGACAGCUAUUUCUAAAUACUUCUGAGGAUCUGGGUUAGGGUACGGUUUGGUUUAACAGCAGAGCUCUAUCCCUGUGAUUUCAUCUGGGUGACCCAGGGAUGCCAAACACCUGAAGUUAUUUUCAUGAAUAUUAUUGGAGAGAUUCAUUCUCAAAACUCCACCCUUUUUAAAUUUUAUUCCGGAAAAUCUUGAAACUCUUUUAUAUGGAUUUUUUUUCUCCUAACUAGCUUGUUAAACAAAAUAUUCACAAAUAAGUGCAGCUCAGAUUCAAUUGUUUAAAUCUUAAGCAUAUUCUUUUAUGCACAAUUUACAAUAUUUAGAAUUUCAGGCACAUGCGGACAAGACAGUACUGCAUUAAUCAAAACAGGCACAUAGAGCAGGGGCAGUUAGUCAGCAAUAAAUUAAAAGCCAACAAGAACAAGUCCUAUCCUCAAACAUUCACAUUUUGCACAUAAUUACUGUGAUUUUGUUUGUAUAUUACAGAUAGAGUUUUCUAUUUUUUUGUCUGAAAGUAUAGUAUAUAAAAUAGAGGCAUAAAAUGGCAUCUGAACCAAACAACAUUUCUGAACAUAAAAGCAGUGUUUCAGAUACAAUACAUUAACCUCAUUCAUUGUAAUUGUUACCAAGUCCUUUUCUAUUAUACCAUAAUGACUUCUUUAAUUUGCCAGAAGUACAAAAAAUGAGAAAAAAGGAAGAUCAGAAAAUCUUACUGCAGGAUUUCAGUUUUCUCUACAAAAUAUAGUCACAAAAUAUUGCUCUAAUAGAAAUUUGCAUUAAAGUGGGAGAGAUUUUAUGGUUUUGAAAUUGAUGGGAACUUUGAUAGUUGUGUAAUGGAUAGUGUUUCGUAAAUUUUAAAACACUCUCUCCUUUUCUUUGACUCAUUUAUUUAGGGUUUCUCAAAUGAAUUGUUUAAACUCAAGCAUUUAAUCCACAUCAACACUUUCACUUAUGUGACAGAUAAGUAAGCUUAGAUAUUAGGAGUAAAUAGUGUAGUUUGGCCCUGUCACUCCCUCACUACAAAGACUGGAGCUCAAAACCAGAUUGAACUGGUGCAGGUGUCUGCCAAAGGAGCGGGGCUCACAAGAAUCACCAGGGUGGCCCCGGCAGCACCUGGGAAGCACAAGAGGGCCUGUGAAGCAGCUGUGUUACCAGACAGUGAACACUUCUCCCUGUGGUUUCCCUGCUGUAAUAUUCCAGGUAGUAAAUGAAAUCUGGCUCACCUUGUUCUUUGCACUGGCAGCAGGCUGAGCUUGGGAAAGAGCAUCUCUUGGCUGCCUUAGGGCUCCAAAUUCCCCUUUCUGUAAAUUUGCAUCCUGCCAAAGGAUCAUUAAAGAAAUUUUUCUCAUUUUUAGUUUGUAAGAGGAAAAAGGAAUAUUCUUAAUACAUGCCUAAAAGGACUCACUUUUUUACUUUUUUAAUGUUUUUAUGUUUUAUGUUAGCACUGGUCUUUUAUAUCUGCACAUAUCUGAGCUAUGUGGAAAACUGACAAAGGCAGAUAUUUACCUGUUCAGCUGUUCUUUCAUGGAGCUGCAGUGCUGCAAGACAAGCAGGCAGAAUUAACCCCCAUCAGCACCAUUCCCUGGAGCACAGGAGGCCCAGGCUGCAGCACCUUCUUUGUGUCUGCAGUUCCCUUAGUUUGCCACAGGCAUGUUCCUGCUUUGCCAAGGAUGAUGUGCUCAAGGCCAUGACUGCAGUCAUGCAAGCUCUUCUGUCUCCUUUGGAAGAUGUCUCUUGCUCCUAACAGACCUACAGGACCUGUAAAUCACUGCCUGCUGCUGCCUUACAGCAUCUACGCUGUGAUCACUCCAUUACAGCAAGCUACCACUUGUGACAUUGCCAAAGGACAACAGAGGCGGCAAAAAGCUCCAGGUAUCUUCAGAUUAAGAACAGCAAAAACCAUCUCCCCAGAUGGUUUCUGGAGGAUUCAGCUUCUGGAUCUCCUUCACUGUGCACUUCUAAAGUUGUGCCAACAGCAAAUUAAUGUCUGAUUUUCUGAUGCACUGAAAGCAUGGCAGAUGCACCAUCAAACUCAGUUUUGCCAAGUCUUAAUAGCUCAAGAUAUGUAUCAUGAGCCGCUCCUGGUGCUAAUUUUUGAUUCUAUCUCAGAAACUGCUCAGUGCUGCAGAGGUAUCACACCUGCUUCUCCUUCCAUUUUCCAAGUCUAGGAGUAUAUGGGCAUUUUUUAUUGAAAACCAUUUCUGCCAGACUCCUUUAGAUCCAUGGCACAGCAGUCUGGUGUUAGUAAAUCUGUUGUGGCUGUGGAUGCAAUGAAUGUCUGCAGGCCACCACCAACUGCUAUUUUCCUGUCUGGUGAAAGCCUACACCAUCCUGGACAUCUUUGCUGUAUUCAGAGGGGAUAGGACACUCAGCUGUGCUAUGUAGGAUGUGAUGAUGACAUUUUUGCCUGCUCAGUUCCCCUGGGCAAGGCCGGUGCUUAACACACUCUCAUGGGCUGAAAAUCCAGAGGCAAUGCAUGCACACAAGACUGAGCCAUGCACAUAUCUACUAUAGGUAGAAAAUCUGAAAAUGAGCAUUACGUACUCUAUUAUCUUUAUUUUUCUUGUUUUCAGGUCUGCAUGCAUAAAAAAAAAAAAAAAGAAGCAGCCAAAUAAAAGCCAGUGUACCCAUUUCUUUGACCAAAUCUUUGGCUGUAACAGGUGACAAUAGCAUUUUUUCAACUUUUUAAAUACAGUUUGACAGGGAAGACUAUGAAAACAGUAGCUCAUUAUUUUAUAUUUAUGAACCAAGCUGAGAUUCUAUAAUAUCCUGUCCUGAUGUGAUCUAUUGUUGUACUCUUAUUUCCAGCGACUUUUAUCUGACUGCUGCUGGAAAUUCUACCCAUAGGUACUGAUGUGUUGCCUUUGAAUACAAUCACAUAUUGUUGCCUGUUCUCUCAGUUUGAUUUAUUUUGGGUGAUAAAUGAACAUCUUGAGGCAGUCAUCAGACUUUAAUUUGACUGAACAGAUCGUAACUGAAAAUCACAAUUUUCCUAGAGCUCUGUUGAAGAGCAGCCAGUCAUUUCACAUUACCCAUACAUUGCUGGCUGUUUAUUGGUUCUCUGCAACAUGCACUAGAAUCCUUGUUGCAGUAUUUACAGCACUAUUCACAUAUUUUACUAUCAAUGUUUUAUAAGCUACCAGCAGCAGGAAAAAAAAAUUACUUACAGAGCAUGUGAUACUGGGAAGAGUAUAGAAAUGCAACACAAUUACCUAUACACAUCCAAAAAUAUACUAAGUUGCCUCACAUACUAUGAAAGCUAAAAAUCCUUCAUAGCUGCACAUUAUAACUUUUAAUUAUUUUUUUUUUCUUUUUACUUCCUGAAAGCCUCUGCAGGGCCUCAGGUGUGAGAAACGCUAUACUUUCCCUCACAAGGCUUUUUUAACACAGCUUUCUAUAGAUCAUGUUCUGCUGUUACAUGUAAAACUGUUCUUGACUAAGGAUUCGUUUCUGAUCUACAAGACCGGAAAUCUCUUCCUCUCUUUCCUCUCCUCAUUGUUGUCUUUGCUUUCCCUUUCCUUUUUUCAGCUUUACAUUGAGUUUAAGUACUAGUAAAUAAACUCAUUCAAGCUUCUGUACAAUAUCAGCCACAGGAUAUUGUCCUCUGCUGAGCCCAAAGACUCCUCUCUGGCUGAAUAGUAUCUUCCAGGAAACACCUGAUCUCAUUUUGAAGGCAGCAAAAGAGGGAGACCCUGCCACUUCUUUGCCAGCUUGCCUGCAUUUUCCUGUAAUCUCAGUUUUCCAAUUUAUAGACAAUGGCAUCCAGAAUGGUAUCUUUUGUUACUUUUGGUCACUGUUUAUUAACACACUCUUCAUGUGUUAAGCACAUGAAGAGUUCUAGUAAAGCUGAUACACAAGAAGGAAGCCUUUCUUCUAGCAAUCACAUCAACUAGAGCAGCAGCUGAUUUUAACAGAAUUUAUUUACUUUAAAAGAGCAAAAUUUUCUGGCUGAGUUCUGAUACAACAGAAUAAGCAUGGUCAGCUUUCAUGAGAAAAACUUUCCAAGGGCUAGAAUUUCUUAGCUAUUUUCCUAGGAACCCCAUCAGAGUGUUCUUCCUCCUCUGUAAGCCCAGUAGUACCACUACAGGUUCUACACUCAGAAUUAUGGGCUUCACCAUUGACUUCUCUGCUGGGACAGGGAAGUAGGGCUCCACAGGGACAGGAAGGAGCUUAGGCUGUACUUUUUUUCUGUACUUAUAAUGCUCAGCACAGCAAGGCAUCUUUUGUGCCAUUUGAUUCAACUCAUAAAGGAUUCAUGUGAACUUAGCACUUCUGUGUGGCAAUCCCUCUGUACCACUGUAACUCCAAGUUAGCCUCUCUAUUGGAAGUUUAAAACUUACACUGUCCUCACAAAGGUUUUGAACCCUCAAAACUACAUAUUUUGAAAUUUAAUUCUUUGUACCUUCUUGGUACUGAUUUUACUACUGUGAGAUAAAAAGCAAGACUUUGUUGUAGUCUUCGAAAUCUUAAAUCUCUAGCUAGGUCAACCCUAUCACCUAGCUGAUGCUUUAGAUAAUUUUCUGCUGAACUAUUUAUGCAUCAUUUUUUCUGAUAAGCAUAUUUGGUUUUGCUACAGACACAAGGCUGGCUUUUUCUACCACUUUUGAUUGGAAGCAUGUUUUUAUACCAAUGUUUGGAUUUCUUUAGUUAUUGUCUUUGCAGCUCAUUCAGACGAGAGUCUUGGAAGAGAGUUUCACCUGUCAAAAUCCACAAAUUUCCUGCUAAAUUAAUUUAAAACCAUACAAAGGAUAGAAAAAACAAUUGUAUAAGCUGGUGCCACAAGCAGAUAGAUCUUAAGGGGAAAACAUUUGUUGCCAUGCCUUGCUUUGAAACCAUACUGGGGUGCUGUUGAGAAGUAUUUUUCACUGCUCAUGCUUUCUUAAGUUGGAAACAAGG